GAUUCUAUAGUUAAAUCUAUAAUAUUAGAUUGCAAGUCUAAAGAUGUAUAAAUAUACUAGAAUUU
rnacentral:tRNA from 1 species